rnacentral:rRNA from 1 species
UACGUAGGUGGCGAGCGUUGUCCGGAUUUACUGGGCGUAAAGGGAGCGUAGGCGGACUUUUAAGUGAGAUGUGAAAUACCCGGGCUCAACUUGGGUGCUGCAUUUCAAACUGGAAGUCUAGAGUGCAGGAGGGGAGAAUGGAAUUCCUAGUGUGGCGGUGAAAUGCGUAGAGAUUAGGAAGAACACCAGUGGCGAAGGCGAUUCUCUGGACUGUAACUGACGCUGAGGCUCGAAAGCGUGGGGAGCAAACAGGAUUAGAUACCCGUGUA